ACUAUUAAACCCAAACUUUAAUGAAUUUCAGAACUGGAGCCAAAGAGGUUUCCUCUUCGUUUCCCCCCUGUUCUUCUAUGACCUGUAUAAUUUAGGGUUGCACAUUUUCUCGAAAUUUAUUGUGUUCUAAUCUUGAAUUUGUCCAAAAGAUUGGAUCUUUCAAGUUUAUGAUGUAUGGGUUUGUAAAUUGGAGCUCGUAGCAGCUGAAGGGAUCAUUUUUCUAUUACUCCAGUUUCACUCAUGGGCUGCACACUUAUCAGAUUUUACUGCAAAGAGGGCUAUCUUUCUUUCAAUUUCUUGCUCUGAAAGCACAGGUCAAGGUAUAAAGUAGGCCAAGUAAUCCUUUUGCCUUUUUGCCUUUAUUUUUUUGGAGCCAUUGUUUGGGUUAUUCAUUUUCUUUAGAAUUGGGAUCAAUAUAACUACAUGUAGUGAUUAAUCAUCUUAGGCUCACUUUUGCUGAAAAGUCUUUUUUCUUUUGGGAUUUUUGUUUCAGUUUCCAUAAUUUGUUGUUGUUCGAGAAAUCUUUUGUAGUUCAUAUUUAUGAUCAGCUGAGAAGUGAGAACCCUCUGGAAGCUACUUUAAAGUGAUGAAUUGCACUCUCUCUGUAAGGAAAUGCUAUUUGUUUACUCAAUUAGGGUGUUUUUGUAUUCAUAUACUAUGCAUAGGUUGUAUGUGUGUGUGUGGAUUUUUGAAGAAGAUAUAAUUGGCGUAAAAACUUUGACUUGUCUGCAUUUGAGCAAAACUUCAAAAGAAAUCUAAUAUAUUUGGUUUACAUUAAGCCUUUUAUGUCCAAAUGCAAUAUUUGCUUAGUGCUGAACUAUUAUGCAAAUGCAAGUUUUUGACUUGGCAUUCUUUACGGUUUACUUUUGCGAUAACGCCUGAUGAGGCUUAUUUUUCUGUUUACUAGUAAGUCAGGAUGUUAUGCUGCCCAUUUUUUUUUUUUUUUUUGUGAGAGUGUGUGUGUGUGUGUGGUUUUUUUCUUUUUAACUUCUUUAAAGGCUUUCCCUAUAAGCAAACAUUAGGGCCAGCUAUUUUCUUUUUUUUUUCUUUUCUUUUUUCAAUUAUUUGGAUUUCAAAGUUGAGGAGCCAAAUCGAGUAGUUGAAUUUGUGCGUCAUACUUCAUAGGCUCCACUUGGCAGAUUGCACCAGGUGAGUAGUACAGAAGAUUGGGAGUGUUGCCCUGUUUUCCCUCAAAUUCCUGGUUCUAAAUAAGCUUGAGCAAUCCUUUUUAUGCAAAACCCAAAAAUUGUGCUACCUUCCUGCUUCUCUGCUUCUCCCAUUUUUGUGCCAAACAUGAAGUUUCCUGAUAUUCUCUGUUAGUGACUUCCUUUUUUUGUUUGUUUUUAAGAUACUUUGAGUCAUUGUUGAUAGCUUUUUGAGCAUUGACACAAUUAUAUCUCUUAAACUUGCUUAUAAUUUUCUUUUGGAGGUCAGGAAGGUUAGGGAACGGUUGUUUUUGGUGUUUGUGUUGGAAACAUGAAGUAUAUUUAACUUCUUGUCAUGUCAAAGGUCCAAACAAUGACAAUGGAUAUCUCUGCUAGAUGUUGGACCUAAAGAUGGUUUGUCAUUGUUGCUUUAUGUUGUUUCAAAGUAUUCUGCAAUAGAUUCUCUUAGGAAAAAUCAUGUUGGUUUUCUUCUGGUUUAAGGCAGAAAGCCAUUAGGUUCGUUAUAACUAAUGUACAUAAUUUGAUGUAGGAAUUCUUCAUCUGAUGUUGCAGACUAUCUUGAUCACAUCUAAUGGAGCUUGUAAGCUGGGUGCAUUUGGUUUCACACCUACAGGUCACUCAUCCAGUGAUUCAGCUAAUGUGCGGGCUUUCCACUAUGCUGUGAGUGUAAAUUUUCAUAUCACAGUGAAAAACAGAAUAUAAUUGCACGUUUUUUUUAGUUCAUUUUUCUACUGCAUUUCUAGUUAUUGAAUUUGUGAAUUGAUAGCAUUUCUUUUAUCUGAAUCUUAUUGCUGUUAAGCAUGCUGCUGGACCUGCAUUAGCUUUUUGAUUUAUCAUGGAAAAUCUGUUGUUUGAAUAGUAGUAUCUUAAACAGAUUUGGUUGCUAAUUGGUUCUUGGAAAGGUUUAACACAAAUUUUCUUCAUAAAUUAGUGCUUGGAGCUCUAUCAAUGCUAUAUCUGAGCUCAAGUAUGAGCUAUAUAUGAAGAGGAGCCAGGCAGAUCCAUAUGGUUUCAUGUUACAUUAGAGUUAGAUCUAUGUUGUUGAUGAGUAAAGAAUAGAAAGAAGUGUUGUGGGAGGGGUUUUGGAAGGACCGAAGUGCAUGAUAUAUGUAGAUUUGGUGAGUAUGAUCCUCUUAACGUGCUGGACUAUUAUGUUAUCACCUUAGACUCAAUCAAGACAAGUACAUCGAAGAUUAGGGAUGACAACGCGACAGGUGCCUGCCUUGCAGGGGAAGGAAUGGGACGGGAGAUUUUUCUCCUCCUACUUUAAAUGGGGUGGGGGAGGAUACCAAUAUAUAUUUUGACAAAAGCUUUGUCCUUCAUAUCAUUCGAUUCUUUUGAGUCUCUUUUGAUUAGUAGACAGACAAAAGAAUAUAUCAGUUUUUUGGUUAGAACUUACUGUUAUACUAGCACCAAAUGUUCUUGACUGUGAUUGCAACAUCUCCAAUUAUGGGAAGUAAGGGGCCGCUUGGUUUGAGGGGUUUGGCAUGUGGAAUGACAAUAAUUCCAAUAUUUAGUGCUUGGUACACUGUAAUGGCAAUUGAAAUAUUGGAAUCAUACCCAAUUCAUGAUUCCCGACUAAAUUGGGAGGAAUCACUCAAAACCCUCAGCUCAUUUCCAACAGUGAAUAAAUAAAAGACAAAAUAUUUUGUUAAAAUACUUUCUUUCUCCCUCUCCCAGACUUCCACCAUCGAACCUCCCCUUCCUCUCUGCCUUCAACACCUCUCUCUCCCCCAUGGCAUCUGGCAAUUCCUCCCCUUUUUCUUAUUUUUCCCUCUUUAUCAGCAUUUGACAACACCCAAAUGGGCUUGCCGGCAGAAAAAUAGAUUCAAAUGGAAGAAAUCGAAGAGGAAGCCGCACCAGCAAACACCGACAAGUCAUCACCGUUAUUAUCUGAAUUCUCCCCGUAAGAUCCGUUGGCCCGAGGUCGAGGUCCACCUCUACAAGCUUGGCAAAGGACCCAUCAAUGUCUUCAAGUCCAGCCUUAGUGGGUGGGACCAAGACUAGUUGGAGGUCACCGAUUUUUUUCCUUUUCCAUGGCAUCUGACAAAAUCUCUCUUCUUCUCCCACGGCCGGUCACUUCCACCUCAUCCCAGUAGACCCUUUCUUCUCCUCCCUUGCCAUCAAAUCGUCCUCCUCAUUGCAAUCGUUCUCCACAAAUCGUUCAAAUCUUUUAUUGAUUAGUCAUGAGUUUUUGUUGAUAAUCGUUGAACCAAAAACAAAAAAGAUUUGGAUUGGUAGUGAUUUGAUGAUGGGCGUGAUUAUCAAUCCAAGAACAAUAAUUAAAAAAUAAAAAAUUAAUUUUGAUACCAUUCCAACUAUAUUUAUACCAAGCACUAGUCCGUGGAAUAAUACCAGGGGUUCAAACCCAUACUAAUUUUUUGUAUAUCAUUCCAUCUCCAAUACCAAUUCCAAAACAUGAACCAAGCACCCCC
rnacentral:lncRNA from 1 species